rnacentral:rRNA from 1 species
UGCGUAGGCGGAAGAUUAAGUCAGUGGUGAAAUCCUGCGGCUCAACCGUAGAACUGCCAUUGAUACUGAUAUUCUUGAAUGUAGUUGAGGUAGGCGGAAUGUGUAAUGUAGCGGUGAAAUGCUUAGAUAUUACACAGAACACCGAUUGCGAAGGCAGCUUACUAAACUAUGAUUGACGCUGAUGCACGAAAGCGUGGGGAGCGAACAGGAUUAGAUACCCUGGUAGUCC